rnacentral:rRNA from 1 species
GGAAUUUUGGACAAUGGGGGCAACCCUGAUCCAGCAAUGCCGCGUGUGUGAAGAAGGCCUUCGGGUUGUAAAGCACUUUUGGCGGGAACGAAACGGUGGGGGCUAAUAUCCUCUGCUAAUGACGGUACCCGCAGAAUAAGCACCGGCUAACUACGUGCCAGCAGCCGCGGUAAUACGUAGGGUGCAAGCGUUAAUCGGAAUUACUGGGCGUAAAGCGUGCGCAGGCGGUUGUGCAAGACAGAUGUGAAAUCCCUGGGCUCAACCUAGGAAUUGCAUUUGUGACUGCACGGCUAGAGUGUGUCAGAGGGGGGUAGAAUUCCACGUGUAGCAGUGAAAUGCGUAGAUAUGUGGAGGAAUACCGAUGGCGAAGGCAGCCCCCUGGGAUAAUACUGACGCUCAUGCACGAAAGCGUGGGGAGCAAACAGGAUUAGAUACCCUGGUAGUCCACGCCCUAAACAAUGUCAACUAGCUGUUGGGGGCUUCGGCCCUUAGUAGCGCAGCUAACGCGUGAAGUUGACCGCCUGGGGAGUACGGUCGCAAGAUUAAAACUCAAAUGAAUUGACGG